AGAGUUUGAUCCUGGCUCAGAUUGAACGCUGGCGGCAGGCUUAACACAUGCAAGUCGAGCGGUAACAGAAAGUAGCUUGCUACUUUGCUGACGAGCGGCGGACGGGUGAGUAAUGCCUAGGAAUCUGCCUAGUAGUGGGGGAUAACUUGCCGAAAGGUAAGCUAAUACCGCAUACGUCCUACGGGAGAAAGCAGGGGACUCUUCGGAGCCUUGCGCUAUUAGAUGAGCCUAGGUCGGAUUAGUUAGUUGGUGAGGUAAUGGCUCACCAAGACUGCGAUCCGUAACUGGUCUGAGAGGAUGAUCAGUCACACUGGAACUGAGACACGGUCCAGACUCCUACGGGAGGCAGCAGUGGGGAAUAUUGGACAAUGGGGGCAACCCUGAUCCAGCCAUGCCGCGUGUGUGAAGAAGGUCUUCGGAUUGUAAAGCACUUUAAGUUGGGAGGAAGGGCAGUUAACUAAUAUUUGACUGUUUUGACGUUACCGACAGAAUAAGCACCGGCUAACUUCGUGCCAACAGCCGCGGUAAUACGAAGGGUGCAAGCGUUAAUCGGAAUUACUGGGCGUAAAGCGCGCGUAGGUGGUUCGUUAAGUUAGGAGUGAAAGCCCCGGGCUCAACCUGGGAAUUGCUUCUAAAACUGGCGGACUAGAGUAUGGUAGAGGGUGGUGGAAUUUCCUGUGUAGCGGUGAAAUGCGUAGAUAUAGGAAGGAACAUCAGUGGCGAAGGCGACCACCUGGACUGAUACUGACACUGAGGUGCGAAAGCGUGGGGAGCAAACAGGAUUAGAUACCCUGGUAGUCCACGCCGUAACGAUGUCAACUAGUUGUUGGGUUCCUUGAGGACUUAGUAACGCAGCUAACGCAUUAAGUUGACCGCCUGGGGAGUACGGCCGCAAGGUUAAAACUCAAUG
rnacentral:rRNA from 1 species